rnacentral:rRNA from 1 species
GAUGAACGCUGGCGGCGUGCCUAAUACAUGCAAGUCGAGCGAACAGAUGAGGAGCUUGCUCCUCUGACGUUAGCGGCGGACGGGUGAGUAACACGUGGAUAACCUACCUAUAAGACUGGGAUAACUUCGGGAAACCGGAGCUAAUACCGGAUAAUAUAUUGAACCGCAUGGUUCAAUAGUGAAAGACGGUUUUGCUGUCACUUAUAGAUGGAUCCGCGCCGCAUUAGCUAGUUGGUAAGGUAACGGCUUACCAAGGCAACGAUGCGUAGCCGACCUGAGAGUGUGAUCGGCCACACUGGAAGUGAGACACGCUCAAGACGCCAAAGGGAGGCAGCAGUAGGGAAUGUUCGGCAAUGGGGGAAUGCAUGACAGAGCAACGCUGAGUGAGUGAUGAAGAUCUUCUAAUCGUAAAACUCUGUUAUUAGGGAAGAACAAAGGUAUAAGUAACUAUGCACGGCUUGACGGGACCUAAUCAGAAAGCCACGGCUAACUACGUG